AUGCUUCAGCAGCACAUAAACUAAAAUGGGAAUGAUACAGAGAAGAUUAGCGUGGCCCCUGCGCAAGGAUGACACACAAAUUCAUGAAGUGUUCCAUGUUGUU
rnacentral:snRNA from 1 species